UACGUAGGGUGCGAGCGUUGUCCGGAAUUACUGGGCGUAAAGAGCUCGUAGGCGGUUUGUCGCGUCGUCCGUGAAAACUUGGGGCUCAACCCCAAGCUUGCGGGCGAUACGGGCAGACUUGAGUACUGCAGGGGAGACUGGAAUUCCUGGUGUAGCGGUGAAAUUCGUAGAUAUCGGGAGGAACACCGGUGGCGAAGGCGGCGACCUGGGUAGAUACUGACGCUGAGGCGCGAAAGCGUGGGGAGCAAACAGG
rnacentral:rRNA from 1 species